rnacentral:piRNA from 1 species
UAGAGCUCCAGCAGUAUUGGUGUUAGU